UGCCGCGUGCAGGAAGACUGCCCUAUGGGUUGUAAACUGCUUUUAUACAGGAAGAAUNAGCCUUACGUGUAAGGUGAUGACGGUACUGUAAGAAUAAGGACCGGCUAACUCCGUGCCAGCAGCCGCGGUAAUACGGAGGGUCCGAGCGUUAUCCGGAAUUAUUGGGUUUAAAGGGUCCGUAGGCGGAUGAUUAAGUCAGGGGUGAAAGNUUGCAGCUCAACUGUAAAAUUGCCUUUGAUACUGGUUAUCUUGAGUUGUAUUGAAGUAGGCGGAAUAUGUAGUGUAGCGGUGAAAUGCAUAGAUAUUACAUAGAACACCAAUUGCGAAGGCAGCUUACUAAGUACUAACUGACGCUGAUGGACGAAAGCGUGGNUAGCGAACAGGAUUAGAUACCCUGGUAGUCCACGCCGUAAACGAUGGAUACUAGCUGUUCGGGGCCUUGAGCUCUGAGCGGCUAAGCGAAAGUGAUAAGUAUCCCACCUGGGGAGUACGUUCGCAAGAAUGAAACUCAA
rnacentral:rRNA from 1 species